rnacentral:rRNA from 1 species
AUUGAACGCUGGCGGCGGCCUAACACAUGCAAGUCGAGCGGCAGCGGGACCUUCGGGUUGCCGGCGAGCGGCGGACGGGUGAGUAAUGCCUAGGAAUCUGCCUGUUAGUGGGGGAUAACGCGGGGAAACUCGCGCUAAUACCGCAUACGUCCUUCGGGAGAAAGCGGGGGCUCUUCGGACCUCGCGCUAACAGAUGGGCCUGGGUCGGAUUAGCGAGUUGGUGGGGUAAUGGCCAACCAAGGCGACGAUCCGUAACUGGGCUGAGAGGAUGAUCAGUCACACUGGAACUGAGACACGGUCCAGACUCCUACGGGAGGCAGCAGUGGGGAAUAUUGGACAAUGGGCGAAAGCCUGAUCCAGCCAUGCCGCGUGUGUGAAGAAGGUCUUCGGAUUGUAAAGCACUUUAAGUCGGGAGGAAGGGCUGUAGGCUAAUACCUUGCAGUUUUGACGUUACCGACAGAAUAAGCACCGGCUAACUUCGUGCCAGCAGCCGCGGUAA